UACGGGGGGAGCAAGCGUUGUUCGGAUUUACUGGGCGUAAAGGGCGCGUAGGCGGCCUGAUAAGUAGGGGGUGAAAUCCUGCGGCUUAACCGCAGGGCUGCCUUCUAAACUGUCAGGCUUGAGCACAGUAGAGGCAGGUGGAAUUCCCGGUGUAGCGGUGGAAUGCGUAGAGAUCGGGAAGAACAUCAGUGGCGAAGGCGGCCUGCUGGGCUGUUGCUGACGCUGAGGCGCGACAGCGUGGGGAGCAAACAGG
rnacentral:rRNA from 1 species